rnacentral:rRNA from 1 species
CGGACAUCGAUCAUGAGAGUGAUCAAGUGACGUAAGGGCAUUUGGUGGAUGCCUUGGCA